UACGGGGGGGGCAAGCGUUGUUCGGAAUUACUGGGCGUAAAGGGCGCGUAGGCGGCCUUCUAAGUCGAACGUGAAAUCCCUGGGCUCAACUCAGGAACUGCGUCCGAUACUGGCAGGCUUGAAUCCGGGAGAGGGAUGUGGAAUUCCAGGUGUAGCGGUGAAAUGCGUAGAUAUCUGGAGGAACACCGGUGGCGAAGGCGACAUCCUGGACCGGUAUUGACGCUGAGGCGCGAAAGCGUGGGGAGCGAACAGG
rnacentral:rRNA from 1 species